GGCCAGACUCCUACGGGAGGCAGCAGUGGGGAAUAUUGGACAAUGGGGGGAACCCUGAUCCAGCGACGCCGCGUGAGUGAAGAAGUCUUUCGGUAUGUAAAGCUCUCUCAGCAGGGAAGAAAGAGAUGACGGUACCUGACUAAGAAGCCCCGGCUAACUACGUGCCAGCAGCCGCGGUAAUACGUGGGGGGCAAGCGGUAUCCGGAUUUACUGGGUGUAAAGGGAGCGUAGACGGCGAUGCAAGUCUGAAGUGAAAGGCGGGGGCCCAAACCCCGGACUGCUUUGGAAACUGUAUGGCUGGAGUGCAGGAGAGGUAAGUGGAAUUCCUAGUGUAGCGGUGAAAUGCGUAGAUAUUAGGAGGAACACCGGUGGCGAAGGCGGCCUGCUGGACUGCAACUGACGUUGAGGCCCGAAAGCGUGGGGAGCAAACAGGAUUAGAUACCCUGGUAA
rnacentral:rRNA from 1 species